rnacentral:rRNA from 1 species
AGUGAACGCUGGCGGUAGGCCUAACACAUGCAAGUCGAACGGCAGCACAGUAAGAGCUUGCUCUUACGGGUGGCGAGUGGCGGACGGGUGAGGAAUACAUCGGAAUCUACUUUUUCGUGGGGGUUAACGUAGGGAAACUUACGCUAAUACCGCAUACGCCCUACGGGUGAAGGCAGGGGAUCUUCGGACCUUGCGCGAUUGAAUGAGCCGCUGUCGGAGUAGCUAGUUGGCGGGGUAAAGGCCCACCCAGUCGCGGAUACGCAGCUGGUCUGAGAGGAUGGUCGCCCACCCUGGAACUUGGACACGGUCCAGAGUCCUACGGGAGGCAGCAGUGGGGAAUAUUGGACAAUGGGCGCAAGCCUGAUCCAGCCAUACCGCGUGGGUGAAGAAAGCCUUCGGGUUGUAAAGCCCUUUUGUUGGGAAAGAACAGCAGCAGGUUAAUACCCCGCUGUUCUGACGGUACUCAAAGAAUAAGCACCGGCUAACUUCGUG